CCCUUAGAUGUUCUGAACCGCACGCGUGUUACACUGAUGCAUUCAACGAGCUUUACCUUGGCCGAGAGGCCUGGGAAAUCUUUUUAGCAUGCAUCGUGAUAGGGAUUGAUUAUUGCAAUUAUUAAUCAUGAACGAGGAAUUCCUAGUAAACGCAUUUCAUCAAAAUGCAUUGAUUACGUCCCCGCCCUUUGUACACACCGCCCGUCGCACCUACCGAUUGAGUGGUCCGGUGAAGUCUCGAGAUUGUGGCAAUCUCCUUUAUUGGAGUUUGACUGCGAGAACUUGCCUAAACCUUAUCACUUAGAGGAAGGUGAAGUCGUAACA
rnacentral:rRNA from 1 species